GAUGAACGCUGGCGGCGUGCCUAAUACAUGCAAGUCGAGCGAACGGACGAGAAGCUUGCUUCUCUGAUGUUAGCGGCGGACGGGUGAGUAACACGUGGAUAACCUACCUAUAAGACUGGGAUAACUUCGGGAAACCGUAGCUAAUACCGGAUAAUAUUUUGAACCGCAUGGUUCAAAAGUGAAAGACGGUCUUGCUGUCACUUAUAGAUGGAUCCGCGCUGCAUCAGCUAGUUGGUAAGGUAACGGCUUACCAAGGCAACGAUGCAUAGCCGACCUGAGAGGGUGAUCGGCCACACUGGAACUGAGACACGGUCCAGACUCCUACGGGAGGCAGCAGUAGGGAAUCUUCCGCAAUGGGCGAAAGCCUGACGGAGCAACGCCGCGUGAGUGAUGAAGGUCUUCGGAUCGUAAAACUCUGUUAUUAGGGAAGAACAUAUGUGUAAGUAACUGUGCACAUCUUGACGGUACCUAAUCAGAAAGCCACGGCUAACUACGUG
rnacentral:rRNA from 1 species